rnacentral:misc_RNA from 1 species
UUUCCGUAGGUGAACCUGCGGAAGGAUCAUUAAGAUGAAGCGCGGCCCAAAGCCAGCUGGCAAUGGCGUCCGUGUCUGAACUGUAAAGGACCGUUUGGGCAGACCUACAACCGACGGUCUGCUCAUGGCCCCCUCUACCUCGGGGUGGGCUAGGUUUCCCUUUAUAACCCCUUGUGAAUCAAACCUUCUUGCCUCGGUGGCUCCGCUUGCGGGUAAGGCCUCUGGGAGCACAAUGCAAAACUCUGCUGAAGAAACCUUUAGUCUGAAGAAAAGUCAAUAGACAAGUUAAAACUUUCAACAACGGAUCUCUUGGUUCCC